rnacentral:rRNA from 1 species
AUUGAACGCUGGCGGCAGGCCUAACACAUGCAAGUCGAGCGGAUGAAGGGAGCUUGCUCCCUGAUUUAGCGGCGGACGGGUGAGUAAUGCCUAGGAAUCUGCCUGGUAGUGGGGGAUAACGUUCCGAAAGGAACGCUAAUACCGCAUACGUCCUACGGGAGAAAGCAGGGGACCUUCGGGCCUUGCGCUAUCAGAUGAGCCUAGGUCGGAUUAGCUAGUUGGUGAGGUAAUGGCUCACCAAGGCGACGAUCCGUAACUGGUCUGAGAGGAUGAUCAGUCACACUGGAACUGAGACACGGUCCAGACUCCUACGGGAGGCAGCAGUGGGGAAUCUUCCGCAAUGGACGAAAGUCUGACGGAGCAACGCCGCGUGAGUGAAGAAGGUUUUCGGAUCGUAAAACUCUGUUGUUAGAGAAGAACAAGGAUGAGAGUAACUGCUCGUCCCUUGACGGUAUCUAACCAGAAAGCCAUGGCUAACUACGUGCCAGCAGCCGCGGUAAUACGUAGAUGGCAAGCGUUGUCCGGAUUUAUUGGGCGUAAAGCGAGCGCAGGCGGUUCUUUAAGUCUGAUGUGAAAGCCCCUGGCUCAACCAGGGAGGGUCAUUGGAAACUGGAGAACUUGAGUGCAGAAGAGGAAAGUGGAAUUCCAUGUGUAGCGGUGAAAUGCGUAGAUAUAUGGAGGAACACCAGUGGCGAAGGCGACUUUCUGGUCUGUAACUGACGCUGAGGCUCGAAAGCAUGGGGAGCAAACAGGAUUAGAUACCCUGGUAGUCCAUGCCGUAAACGAUGAGUGCUAAGUGUUGGAGGGUUUCCGCCCUUCAGUGCUGCAGCUAACGCAUUAAGCACUCCGCCUGGGGAGUACGACCGCAAGGUGAAACUCAAAGGAAUUGACGGGGGCC